rnacentral:rRNA from 1 species
CAGCAGCCGCGGUAAUACGAAGGGUGCAAGCGUUAAUCGGAAUUACUGGGCGUAAAGCGUGCGUAGGCGGUUUGUUAAGUCUGUUGUGAAAUCCCCGGGCUCAACCUGGGAAUGGCAAUGGAUACUGGCAAGCUAGAGUGUGUCAGAGGAUGGUGGAAUUCCCGGUGUAGCGGUGAAAUGCGUAGAGAUCGGGAGGAACAUCAGUGGCGAAGGCGGCCAUCUGGGACAACACUGACGCUGAGGCACGAAAGCGUGGGGAGCAAACAGGAUUAGAUACCCCGUAGUCCCUGUCUCUUAUACA